AGAGUGUCAUGAGAUCGCUGCUGUCAAGCUGUAAUUCAGCACUGUGAAAAGGAUUUCCAUUGAUGGCAUUGGAGUAGCUGUCAUCUUGACUAAGAUUAAGUAUCUCACCAUGGAAUGACUCGUAUUUACUUUUAAUUUGAUGUACUGGAAGUAGUCCUAUUGACUUAAAUGGAACUAUGCACAUAAAUAAAGAUUAAGUUUUCAGGUUUCAUACCAGCUUAAUGGAAGAACCACCAGUCGUAAGCACAGUAUUAACUCCAGUUCCAGAGAAUUCCGAGAUGACAUGAGAUAGUAUGAAUGAUUAACUAGGAAAAAAUAAACAAAUUAAA